GACGAACGCUGGCGGCGGGCUUAACACAUGCAAGUCGAACGGAAAGGCCCUGCUUUUUUGGGGUGCUCGAGUGGCGAACGGGUGAGUAACACGUGAGUAACCUGCCCUUGACUUUGGUAUAACUUCAGGAAACUGGGGCUAAUACCGUAUAGGAGCUCCUGCUGCAUGGUAGGGGUUGGAAAGUUUCGGCGGUUGGGGAUGGACGCGCGGCUUAUCAGCUUGUUGGUGGGGUAGUGGCUUACCAAGGCUUUGACGGGUAGCCGGCCUGAGAGGGUGACCGGCCACAUUGGGACUGAGAUACGGCCCAGACUCCUACGGGAGGCAGCAGUGGGGAAUAUUGCACAAUGGGCGGAAGCCUGAUGCAGCAACGCCGCGUGCGGGAUGACGGCCUUCGGGUUGUAAACCGCUUUCGCCUGUGACGAAGCGUGAGUGACGGUAAUGGGUAAAGAAGCACCGGCUAACUACGUG
rnacentral:rRNA from 1 species